rnacentral:rRNA from 1 species
GGCCACAGCCAUAUCACCCUACAGCCCAAGACCCGUUACUUACUGAAGCUAAACAGGGCUGAGCCUGGUAAGUACCUGGAUGGACGACCAAAUGGAAAAACUAGGUUUCUCUUGAAA